UGCUGACAUAAGUAACGAUAAAGCGGGUGAAAAGCCCGCUCGCCGGAAGACCAAGGGUUCCUGUCCAACGUUAAUCGGGGCAGGGUGAGUCGACCCCUAAGGCGAGGCCGAAAGGCGUAGUCGAUGGGAAACAGGUUAAUAUUCCUGUACUUGGUGUUACUGCGAAGGGGGGACGGAGAAGGCUAUGUUGGCCGGGCGACGGUUGUCCCGGUUUAAGCGUGUAGGCUGGUUUUCCAGGCAAAUCCGGAAAAUCAAGGCUGAGGCGUGAUGACGAGGCACUACGGUGCUGAAGCAACAAAUGCCCUGCUUCCAGGAAAAGCCUCUAAGCAUCAGGUAACAUCAAAUCGUACCCCAAACCGACACAGGUGGUCAGGUAGAGAAUACCAAGGCGCUUGAGAGAACUCGGGUGAAGGAACUAGGCAAAAUGGUGCCGUAACUUCGGGAGAAGGCACGCUGAUAUGUAGGUGAAGUCCCUCGCGGAUGGAGCUGAAAUCAGUCGAAGAUACCAGCUGGCUGCAACUGUUUAUUAAAAACACAGCACUGUGCAAACACGAAAGUGGACGUAUACGGUGUGACGCCUGCCCGGUGCCGGAAGGUUAAUUGAUGGGGUCAGCGCAAGCGAAGCUCUUGAUCGAAGCCCCGGUAAACGGCGGCCGUAACUAUAACGGUCCUAAGGUAGCGAAAUUCCUUGUCGGGUAAGUUCCGACCUGCACGAAUGGCGUAAUGAUGGCCAGGCUGUCUCCACCCGAGACUCAGUGAAAUUGAACUCGCUGUGAAGAUGCAGUGUACCCGCGGCAAGACGGAAAGACCCCGUGAACCUUUACUAUAGCUUGACACUGAACAUUGAGCCUUGAUGUGUAGGAUAGGUGGGAGGCUUAGAAGUGUGGACGCCAGUCUGCAUGGAGCCGACCUUGAAAUACCACCCUUUAAUGUUUGAUGUUCUAACGUUGACCCGUAAUCCGGGUUGCGGACAGUGUCUGGUGGGUAGUUUGACUGGGGCGGUCUCCUCCUAAAGAGUAACGGAGGAGCACGAAGGUUGGCUAAUCCUGGUCGGACAUCAGGAGGUUAGUGCAAUGGCAUAAGCCAGCUUGACUGCGAGCGUGACGGCGCGAGCAGGUGCGAAAGCAGGUCAUAGUGAUCCGGUGGUUCUGAAUGGAAGGGCCAUCGCUCAACGGAUAAAAGGUACUCCGGGGAUAACAGGCUGAUACCGCCCAAGAGUUCAUAUCGACGGCGGUGUUUGGCACCUCGAUGUCGGCUCAUCACAUCCUGGGGCUGAAGUAGGUCCCAAGGGUAUGGCUGUUCGCCAUUUAAAGUGGUACGCGAGCUGGGUUUAGAACGUCGUGAGACAGUUCGGUCCCUAUCUGCCGUGGGCGCUGGAGAACUGAGGGGGGCUGCUCCUAGUACGAGAGGACCGGAGUGGACGCAUCACUGGUGUUCGGGUUGUCAUGCCAAUGGCACUGCCCGGUAGCUAAAUGCGGAAGAGAUAAGUGCUGAAAGCAUCUAAGCACGAAACUUGCC
rnacentral:rRNA from 1 species